rnacentral:rRNA from 1 species
UACGGAGGAUGCAAGCGUUAUCCGGAUUUAUUGGGUUUAAAGGGUGCGCAGGUGGUUAAAUAAGUCAGUGGUGAAAGUCUGCCGCUUAACGGUAGGAUUGCCAUUGAUACUGUUUAACUUGAGUUUAGGUGAGGUAGGCGGAAUGUGUAGUGUAGCGGUGAAAUGCAUAGAUAUUACACAGAACACCGAUUGCGAAGGCAGCUUACUAAUCUACAACUGACACUGAGGCACGAAAGCGUGGGGAUCAAACAGGAUUAGAUACCCUGGUAGUCCACGCCGUAAACGAUGAUCACUCGCUGUUUGCGAUAUACAGUAAGCGGCUAAGCGAAAGCGAUAAGUGAUCCACCUGGGGAGUACGAUCGCAAGGUUGAA